CCCUGCUGCAAAGUUGAUGCUGCAGACCCCCUGGUGCACAGCUGAAAGUCACUUGACAAGAUUAAUUAUUUUGGGUGUUUUAGUGGUGUUUGUGAGGCCCUGGCAUGCAGAUUAAUCUCAUGGUGCCAGGUGCCAUGCAGGUGAGCCUCAUCACCUCACCUCACCGUGAGUGAGACGCGUUGGCCGGGCUCGGCACACCUGGUGAUUUCUUCAGGACUUACCUGCAGCCUGAGGAGUAGCUGCCUCAGGAUUUAUAGCAGUGAAGUCUCUCCUACCCCUUCUUAGAAAUGAAAUUAAAGGCAACACAGAUCAUUUGAUAUGUUGGAAUAUGGGAAUUUUGACAUUGACUUCUGUGAGAGUGGGGGAAGAGAAGGAACUGGGCAAAACUCAUCCAGAAGGAUGCAUCUGUUCAGGUCUGGAAGUUAUUUUUUAACAGGAUAACUUCCAUUAGAUCAUUGUCAACCCCUUGGCGUGCUGUGAAAAAAACAACUCAGGGGAGUAGCAGGAGGAGUGCAGAGAUGAGACAAAGCUGUGCUGUAUUCAUGGAGGACAAUGGAUAAACACAGCACACCCAGAGAGCAAGAAGUAACUAUGCUUUUUGUGACACACUCUUUCCUGGAAUAUUUUAAAGGGAGCACAACCUCAGCUUUCUUUCAGCAUAGUCCUUUCAUUCCAAAGAUUUACCUGUUUCUGGGGAGAACUAAAGGAAGGCAAAGUC